rnacentral:rRNA from 1 species
UACGUAGGGUGCGAGCGUUGUCCGGAAUUACUGGGCGUAAAGAGCUCGUAGGUGGUUUGUCGCGUUGUCCGUGAAAACUCACAACUCAAUUGUGGGCGUGCGGGCGAUACGGGCAGACUGGAGUACUGCAGGGGAGACUGGAAUUCCUGGUGUAGCGGUGGAAUGCGUAGAUAUCAAGAGGAAUACCUGAGGUGAAGACGGGUUGCUAGGCCGACACUGACGCUGAAGCGCGAAAGCCAGGGGAGCAAACGGG